CGGAGCCCUGGCUUCUGCAGUUGGGUAAACAGCCAGAAACAACCGGUGCAUUUGUGGCUGAGAGGGGCAGCAAAUGUGAGGUUAAUGAAGAGAGGUGUGCCCAGAAACAUCGGCCGUGUCACUCUGCUGUGGGGAGGUAACAGGGGAGCUGGGUGCUGGUCCAAAUAGGAGAAGUCAGUCUGUACCCUGCUGUAUCACUCGGAAUUACACCGAUGGCAGCAGCAGUAAGAGCAAACACGAGAUGUGGGGAAUUUGGCUUUUAGACCCUCUUCAGCCUGAAUGGAUUCCAGCCCAGCGUUACUUCCCAGGCAACAUCCCAUUCAACAUUAUGAAAAAGUGUAAAGUACAAGACUCCUCUGAAUGCUCAAUACUACACUGAAUCUCCGUCUUCUCCCCAUCCCAUGGCUCUAGCACUCCUAUUGCACAACACUGGACGAUGGUUAGAGCACUCUCCCAUGAAGCGUGGGUUUUGCCCUCUCAGACAGAGAUGGUUAUGGAAACCAGCUUUACCACUUUAUGUGUGAGUAGUGUAAGGAACAUGCUAUUAAAAGGGUGUGUUAAGCUUCCCUUAUUUUAUGUAGUUCAAAAUGUACGUAUUAUUUCUACUGUGUUUGAAAUGGGACUCAUGCUGCCCAAGCUAGCUAUCUAAAAGUAAGGAAUCUUGUCCAAGGGUACAGUGUCAAAUUGCAUCUAAUUUCAGGGUAACUACAGCUGAUACAGACUGCAGCAACACUGCACUCCCCAUGCCCACAGCUAUGUGCUGCCAUCACAUUUCUUGCUUUAGAUUUGGAAUUUGAUCCAAUUCAUUUGUGGCUGCACAAUCAGCUGAUCCAACUGAAAACUACCUCACUGCAGAAAAGUUCCCUGUUGGAUCAUGUCACUCAUCUUCCUCACCUUGUAAUUAGAUCCCGUGCAAGGGAAGAGCUGGGAAGGAGCUGCUGGGGACUGUACACCAGCUUCACCAAACUGGAUCAAGAAAAACAGGCACGUCCAGGGGAUUAUUCAUCUAUUUCUAUUUCAGACCUCCUUCCAAAGAUGCCUUCUGCAAAGGUCUGACUAUUAAUUUCAUGGAGGAGCCUAUCUGCCCAACACUUCUCUGAUGCAGACCUUGUCUUCUGACAGCCUUAUAGCAAGUUCGUUUUUUGUUUGUUUGUUUGUUUGUUUGUUUUUUCUUUUUAAAUAUAUGCUACUUUUGUCCAAAUAGAACAAUCUCCAGGCAUUGGUACAGGCAUCUGUUUUGGCACAUUUCGACUUUUAUAUAUCGCACGGUUGUUCAUGUACUGCUGUGUGAUCAAGGUUUGCAUUCAGUUAAUUGCCACUGCAACUCACUUUCUGAGUUUUAAAGAUGUAAAAUACUUCUAAAUUUAGUUAUGAGUCACUAUCAAAUAACUUGCCCUGAUAUAUAUUCAAGUCAUAGCACUAUCUAUAUCUAAACAGUGAGAGUACCAGCAGUAUUAGAAAACACUGCGUAAAAACUGAUGAGUAUAUGCAAAGAUGUUGCUGUAGGAAAAUGUUAUGAUAUGUAGGACAUUCACUAGAGUUACAUUUUCUAUUUAAAAUAGAAAAAAGCUGCAAAGUGAUGCCACUUAAUUAUUUUCUGAACUUAGUAUGGAAUGUAUUUAGGAAAUGCACUGUAGUGGUUUAUCUACUAGUUAACACAGAGAAUGAUUCUGUAAAAGACCACUGUAAACACAUUAAUUUUGUAAUUUAAGAAAAGUAAAGUGUUAAAACCUACUACUUGUUGUCACUGACAACAUUGUAAAAUCUGAAGCAGCCAGUGUAGUCCAGUUUCUUCGCAUUCUAUAACAAAACUGGCAGCAUGCACUAACAGACUAUUUUUUGAAGAUGAACACCUGCCCACUAAGAAACUUACCAAAUCCAAUCAUGUUUUACUGCUUGACCACUCCGUAUUCAUCUAAUCCUGAUGAAGGGAACUACACACAGGUGCAAGUGCAGACAUAACUCUUUAUUGUUACAUGUUAAGCCAUGUAGAAUGUUGAUGUCUAAGUAGCUGUGUGUUUUGUUUCCUGUUGUUGUUGGUUGGUUGGUUAUAUAAAAUAUUGCUUAUUUUUAAAACGUCGAUAAGGUUUUUUUCUGUAGCAAGCUCAGUGCCAGAUUCUGACGAUACACAGUGAAUCAUUUCCCUAUAGUCUUUUGCUUGGAAAGGAUACUUGGAAACAGUAACUUACCUGCUAGGAAAUUUCUGAUACUUUUAGCAAUCCCUUAGUUGAUACACAGUUGCACAAGAAGUGUAUUUUUUAGAGGAAAACAAAAACAUUGUGUCCAUUGGAGGGAAGGUUCACUGCAGUUCCUGUUCACUGGAGGAGAAUUUUACUUGGCAUCCCCAUUUAUUUUAGCACAUAUUACUUUGCUCGCUGCUGCACUGUCAAGAUAAGGUGUAUAACUCCAGGAAAAUGUCAGUUCAGUGCACUGUUAACAAGGAGACAGAUAUGAAGACCAGUGGUUGUCUCUGGGAUCAGUCUCACUGACCUUGGUUUUAACUGCAUUUUCACUGCAGUCUAUUGCAUACAUUGCUUUCCAAACUGGAAGAUGGGCAGAAAAGAAAAUCAAAGGAAGAGAGGAAAGUUCAGGACGGAGAAAGUGCCAGGAGUCCAUUUAAUCACAGCUUUUGUCUUUGACAGGGCAAGUACAAGAUGUUUUGGAUGGCACACAAGAUGCUGUAAUGCAUAACAAUGCAAUGAUAUGACUAAGACAAAAUUUAUCCUGGUCACAAGCCACAUGUAGGUAUUCCAAACACUGGACUGCAAUGAUUCAGUUCCCAUCCAUAAGUUUAUUGUGCACCCUAAUAUUUUGCAAGUUCCCAAAUUGGAUGGCUUGCUUAUGGUAUUCUUACACAUUGCCUUAUAUAAAGAUUAUUCAUGAAACAUAUCAAAACUGUAAGUCUGGUGUCCUGUGUUAGACAAGAAGUCAGGCCACAAUUGUUUAAUUGUCCUUUUUGGCCUCAAGAUUUUUGAAGUAUGCAAACAGAAUUACAUGAAGCAUAUACCUGGAGUUUCUUCAAACAUUAGGACUAGGCAAGUAAUCAAAUAAUAAACUUAAUAGAACAAUCCCAUUUGCCCUGACCAUGUUAGCAAUCACUGUGCAAAUUUCUAGUUAAUAUUUGCAUGUAUUUGUGCCAGAAACUAGAAUUUGUCUUCCUAUUUUUUUCCUCACUCAAAGCAGUACUUGCAGCUCACAUUAAGUAAUACUUAGUAUGUUUACAUUGCAGUUUUGUUAAAUGAUUUUGGAUAACAAGUUCACCAAAGAUAAACAUACAGAUGUGCUUAUACUAUUUGCUUUAGUAAUCUUACAAUGAUGCUUUGUGAUAUAGCUGUAAGAAGCAGAUAAUUGGUGAGCUGCUGGAACUUCUGGGUGCCUGGGCUUCCUGGGGUGCUGGCAGGAGCAUCACUCUGUGCCAGGUUCCUGACACAGCCACAGGGAACCACUUGUCCUAAUGCUUUUUUUGGCACCAGCACCUGUUCUCAGUGUGGCCAAACUGACUACACCCAAUAUCUUUUCCUUGCUGAUAACUUGGACCGGAUUUCCACCAAUGAUGAGGUUAAAAUUAAUCUUUAUGUUCUCUACCACUCUUCUAACAAAGAAGAUAGAGAUAUUUCCACCAACCCUAAUGGAAUUUAGAUUGGAACACUAUUCCCUUGAUAAAGAGCCCUUUUGAA